ensembl:lncRNA
CCCACCGCCCCCCCUCAGCCUCACUCCUUUCUUGCUGCUUUUCAGGCAGAAGAGUAUGAAAGUUCUGAGAGCAGUGAUUUUCAUCCAUCAACUUUAGAAUUUCGUCAGUUUCUGGAAGGAGCUGAACAGAGGAAGCAAGCGAACCUAAGCAGUUCCCUGUCUUUGCUGGGGUUUCUGUUUAUUGCUCCACUCCCUGCCCAUCAGUGAAGC